rnacentral:rRNA from 1 species
AGUGAACGCUGGCGGUAGGCCUAACACAUGCAAGUCGAACGGCAGCACAGUAAGAGCUUGCUCUUACGGGUGGCGAGUGGCGGACGGGUGAGGAAUACAUCGGAAUCUACUUUUUCGUGGGGGAUAACGUAGGGAAACUUACGCUAAUACCGCAUACGACCUACGGGUGAAAGCAGUGGAUCUUCGGACCUUGCGCGAUUGAAUGAGCCGAUGUCGGAUUAGCUAGUUGGCGGGGUAAAGGCCCACCAAGUCGACGAUCCGUAGCUGGUCUGAGAGGAUGAUCAGCCACACUGGAACGGAGACACGGUCCAGACUCCUACGGGAGGCAGCAGUGGGGAAUAUUGGACAAUGGGCGCAAGCCUGAUCCAGCCAUACCGCGUGGGUGAAGAAGGCCUUCGGGUUGCAAAGCCCUUUUGUUGGGAAAGAAAAGCAGCAGGUUAAUACCCCGCUGUUCUGACGGUACCCAAAGAAUAAGCACCGGCUAACUUCGUG